CGCCCUGACUCUUAGACUGCUUGAGCUGGGUGAAGUACUGCAAGGCGAAUUCCAGCAGGUCCUCGGGCUGUUUUCGUAACACCUCCACGCGAUGAUGAUGAAUCCCUCUUCCACGCUGUGGCUCUGGCUCUCCCCAGGCUCUCACUUGUGGCGACACCGCAGUCGGCGGCAAUAAGGGUAUGAGAGGCACGCUUAGGCUGCGCUGCGAACCCUUAUCGUUUCCGGGGAAGAUGGUGAAGCUGUUGUGUUGUCCUUGUCACUUCUCCCGGAUUAACAGGCCCCCAAGCUCACACAAGGCGCAGACCAAAUACAACUGAGCAUACAAAGUGCUGCAUCCUCCGCCUCCCGCCCGCAGCCGCCUGUCAAUCAAAUGGGAGCCAGCAGCGUGCAUGUGACCACCGGAAACCAUGGCAACCCUCCAUCUCAAGCAUUGCGUGUGGAGCAGGUGCGGAUACAGACUGGCGGGGAUGCUGCGCAGAAAACGACCAAUGUGGCCGAAGGGGACUCCGAUUUCAGCAAAGAAUGAAAGUGGGUUAAGGGCUCAGAGAUGGCAGACUAUCAGCAGCAGUCUGUUUUAUUUAUACUACACUAUAAGGCUCUAAUUGUCUUCACUAGAAAGGCCCUCGCUUUCCUUUGAUUUUUCCUACUGGUAUCCCCAUUUUCUUACAACGAAUAUGUUGUCUCUGUAUGACCAGCUUUUAAUUAUUUAUAAAUAUAUAUAUAUAUUUGCUUGAAAA